ACAACGGCUCUUUUAAGAGCCACUCACUGCAUCUGGAGAGCUUUG
rfam:Xiphophorus maculatus strain JP 163 A Contig17197.1, whole genome shotgun sequence.